GCCUGUUGAUGUUUGACCCUGAUGGAGACGAAGUUAAAUGCAGAUAUGGAAACUCUGCACUCUCAGAGUGUAACCCCUGCACUCCACCCUCUGUCCUCAGCCUCUCAUCGUCGUCUUGUACUCUGUCAUUCAGCCCCACCAGCAGCAGUAAUGAAGGUUCGUAUGUAGUACAGCUGGUGAUGGAGGACUUCCCCAGACAGACCAUCACUCUGACUCAAACCAACGGGACACAAACAACAAUAACUACCAACGAUGCCAUCAGCAAAAUACCGAUUCAGUUUGCUUUGAAAGUUGAUCCUGCAGUGCCAUCCUGCACAGAAGGACUCUUUCUGCCCAAGUUUCUUCCUCCAACACCAGCCAACGGAGCUCAGCUCUACAACAAUGUCAGUCAGACUCUGGAAAUUCACAUCACUGCAGAGGCACUUAACUCCACGGUCUCUGAGCUGCUCUACAGCGGGCCGUACAAUUUAAUCAGCAGUCCAUCAGGACCAGGACAGUUCACCCUGAGAUGGACACCAUCUGAAAGCGAAGAAGGACAAAGCCUCCCCAUCUGUUUUGCUGUCCAGGCAGUUUCUCGUGGGACCAAGUAUCACUCAGAGCUUCGAUGUGUCACUGUGACCGUUGUAAAAGGACCAGUAAUAACCACAACACCCGAAACGACUACACCCAGUGAACCAUCUUAUGUUCUCAAAUUGAAGAUUACCUCUUUGGUGGACUUGUCAAAAGUUGAUAGAAAUUACUUACUUACACAGAUCAAAAAUGUGCUGAUAUCCAACGGACUGCCCCAAGACAUGAUCAUACGACUCAUGAGCAGCAAACCACAGAUUGGUGCAAUUGCAGCGCCCUCUACUGGCACAACAUGAACAUCUACUGAACACGUCAUAGACACCUGAGCUUCACUACUGGAACUUCAACAUUAUGCACUCCAUACUGUACAGUAAUGCCACUGUUUUGCACAUGUCUCAACUCUGUAUAUUUUUAUAUAUUUUAUUUUAUUGUUUACUAUUUAAUUUGUAAAAUAUGUGUACACACACACACACACACACACACAUAGAAAAAUAUUUAGUAUACACAUCCAGAAAUGCAUAUACUAUUAUAUAUUGUACAUAUAUUUAUUAGUUUCAG
ensembl:lncRNA